rnacentral:tRNA from 1 species
GGCCCAGUAGCUCAACGGAUAGAGCGGCUCCCUUCUAAGGAGUAGGUUGUAGGUUCAAUUCCUACCUGGGUCACCA